rnacentral:rRNA from 1 species
AGAGACAGCAGCCGCCGCGGUAAUACAGAGGGUGCGAGCGUUAAUCGGAUUUACUGGGCGUAAAGCGUGCGUAGGCGGCUUCUUAAGUCGGAUGUGAAAUCCCUGAGCUUAACUUAGGAAUUGCAUUCGAUACUGGGAAGCUAGAGUAUGGGAGAGGAUGGUAGAAUUCCAGGUGUAGCGGUGAAAUGCGUAGAGAUCUGGAGGAAUACCGAUGGCGAAGGCAGCCAUCUGGCCUAAUACUGACGCUGAGGUACGAAAGCAUGGGGAGCAAACAGGAUUAGAGACCCGUGUAGUCCCUGUCUCUUAUAC